GCACCAUUGUGCUAUUGCCUCGGUUCACUCAUACCUCAAAACACUCUUCAUCUUUUUUCCUUUUUGGGUUUUUGAUUGAGCCGUGUCAAUAUCCCAAUGCUACUU
rnacentral:pre_miRNA from 1 species